rnacentral:rRNA from 1 species
AUGGCUGGCCUAUCCCUGGAGCACCCUUGGGCAUUCGCCUUCGGUCUCCUAGGCAACAUCAUCUCUUUCACGAGCCUCCUGGCCCCCAUACCAACAUUCUACCGGAUCUACAAGAGCAAAUCCACGGAAGGGUUCCAAUCAGUGCCCUAUGUUGUGGCGCUGUUUAGCGCGAUGCUAUGGAUCUUCUACGCGCUGGUCAAGUCCGGCGAGGGCCUCCUAAUCACCAUCAACGCCGCAGGCUGCGUCAUCGAAACCGUCUACAUUGUCAUGUACCUCGUCUACGCCCCAAGGAAGGCCAAGGUCUUCACGGCCAAGAUCAUCCUUCUCCUCAACAUCGCGGCUUCGGGCUCAUCCUCCUCCUCACCCUCGUCGCCUUCCACGGCGAGAGACGCGUCGUCUCACUCGGCUGGAUCUGCGUUGGCUUCUCCCUCAUGGCGCGACCUCUUGUACGUGUGUCAACUAACUUUGAUGUGUUCCAUUCCCCAGGGACGAGUCAUCAAGACCAAGAGUGUGGAGUACAUGCCCUUCUCCCUCUCCCUCACGCUCACCCUCAGUGCCGUCGUCUGGUUCCUCUACGGCCUGCUCAUCAAGGACAAAUACAUACGCAUUCUAUUCGCAAGCAUGAGCACUGACGAGUGGCAAUUAACUUUUUGUUUGCUGCUCCCAAACAUCCUUGGCUUCACCUUUGGGAUGAUCCAGAUGGCCCUCUACAUGUUCUACAUGAACGCGACGCCGGUGGUGAGCGAUCUGAAGGAGGGGAAAGAGGGGAUGAAGAUGCCGGCGGAGGAGCACGUGGUGGUGAUAAACGUUGGCAAGAUCGAAAAGAGCUCUGGCGCCGUGGUUCGCCCAGUCACCGCCGUUCCGGCGGCGCCGGGGCAACAAGUGAUGGCGCUGGACUCUGUCCGUUCUGUCGAUGUGGUCUAA